rnacentral:rRNA from 1 species
CGCUAGCCACUGGCUUAACACAUGCAAGUCGCGGGGCAGCAUGAAGGAUGCUUGCAUCCUUUGAUGGCGACCGGCGCACGGGUGAGUAACGCGUAUCCAACCUGCCUGUUACCACGGCACAGCCCGUCGAAAGGCGGAUUAAUGCCGUAUGUGGUCCUAAGCGGGCAUCUAAUUAGGACUAAAGGAUUGGCGGUAACGGAUGGGGAUGCGUCCGAUUAGCUGGACGGCGGGGUAACGGCCCACCGUGGCGACGAUCGGUAGGGGUUCUGAGAGGAAGGUCCCCCACAUUGGAACUGAGACACGGUCCAAACUCCUACGGGAGGCAGCAGUGAGGAAUAUUGGUCAAUGGGCGAGAGCCUGAACCAGCCAAGUAGCGUGAGGGAAGACUGCCCUAUGGGUUGUAAACCUCUUUUGUGCGGGGAUAAAGUGAGGGACGUGUCCCUCAUUGCAGGUACCGCACGAAUAAGGACCGGCUAAUUCCGUGCCAGCA